rnacentral:rRNA from 1 species
GACGAACGCUGGCGGCGUGCCUAAUACAUGCAAGUCGAACGCAUUUUCUUUCACCGGAGCUUGCUACACCGAAAGAAAAUGAGUGGCGAACGGGUGAGUAACACGUGGGUAACCUGCCCAUCAGCGGGGGAUAACACUUGGAAACAGGUGCUAAUACCGCAUAAUUCCAUUUACCGCAUGGUAAAUGGAUGAAAGGCGCUUUUGCGUCACUGAUGGAUGGACCCGCGGUGCAUUAGCUAGUUGGUGGGGUAACGGCCUACCAAGGCUGCGAUGCAUAGCCGACCUGAGAGGGUGAUCGGCCACACUGGGACUGAGACACGGCCCAGACUCCUACGGGAGGCAGCAGUAGGGAAUCUUCGGCAAUGGACGCAAGUCUGACCGAGCAACGCCGCGUGAGUGAAGAAGGUUUUCGGAUCGUAAAACUCUGUUGUUAGAGAAGAACAAGGAUGAGAGUGGAAAGUUCAUCCCUUGACGGUAUCUAACCAGAAAGCCACGGCUAACUACGUG